GCCUAAGUGGCUCAGUUGGUUAAGCAUCUGACUUUGGCUCAGGUCCUGAUCUCAUGGUUCGUGGGUUUGAGCCCCACAACGGGCU
rfam:Felis catus isolate Cinnamon breed Abyssinian chromosome B4, whole genome shotgun sequence.